rnacentral:rRNA from 1 species
UACGGGAGGCAGCAGUGGGGAAUAUUGCACAAUGGGCGAAAGCCUGAUGCAGCUAUGCCGCGUGUAUGAAGAAGGCCUUAGGGUUGUAAAGUACUUUCAUCGGGGAGGAAAAAACAAAACUAAUAAUUUUAUUUCUUGACGUUACCCGAAAAAGAAGCACCGGCUAACUCCGUGCCAGCAGCCGCGGUAAUACGGAGGGUGCUAGCGUUAAUCAGAAUUACUGGGCGUAAAGAGCACGUAGGUGGUUUUUUUAAGUCAGAUGUGAAAUCCCUGGGCUUAACCUAGGAACUGCAUUUUGAAACUGAAAUACUAGAGUAUCGUAGAGGGAGGUAGAAUUCUAGGUGUAACGGUGAAAUGCGUAGAUAUCUGGAGGAAUACCUGUGGCGAAAGCGGCCUCCUAAACGAAUACUGACACUGAGGGUGCGAAAGCGUGGGGAGCAAACAGGGAUUAGAUACC